rnacentral:tRNA from 1 species
UGGGGGCAUAGCUCAGCUGGGAGAGCACCUGCUUUGCAAGCAGGGGGUCGUCGGUUCGAUCCCGUCUGCCUCCACCAAUUGCGAUGAUCGUUGGCGCUUUAGCGCUUACGGGCAUCUCACUCCCGAAG